rnacentral:rRNA from 1 species
UGUAGGAGGAGGACCAGGUAAAUCCGGGCCUCAUAAACUCUGAGACGUGAUACCGAGCCGCUUCAGGCGAAGUCAUUGAUCCUAUGCUGCCUAGAAAAGCCCAGCAGCGAGUUGACAUGGUGCCCGUACCCCAAACCAACACAGGUGGACAGGUAGAGCAUACCAAGGCGAGUGGGAUAACUAUGGUUAAGGAACUCGGCAAAUUGCCUCCGUAACUUCGGGAGAAGGAGGACCCCAGUAGCGUGAUGAGACUUGCUCUCUGAGCGUGAAGGGGUGGCACAAAAUUGAGGGAAGCGACUGUUUACCAAAAACACAGCAGCGUGCUAAGCCGUAAGGCGCUGUAUACGCUGUGACUCCUGCCCGGUGCUGGAAGGUUACGGGGAUGGGUUAGUCCUUCGGGACGAAGCUCUGAACCUAAGCCCCAGUAAACGGCGGCCGUAACUAUAACGGUCCUAAGGUAGCGAAAUUCCUUGUCGGGUAAGUUCCGACCUGCACGAAUGGAGUAACGACUUCCCUACUGUCUCAACCAUAGACCCAGCGAAAUUGAAGUACGAGUAAAGAUGCUCGUUAGCUGCAGAAGGACGGAAAGACCCCGUGGACCUUUACUAUAACUUGAUGUUGUGUUUUGUCAUAUGUUGUGUAGGAUAGGUGGGAGACUUGGAAGCAUGGACGCUAGUCUGUGUGGAGUCAUCGUUGAAAUACCACCCUGCAUAUGGUGAGGCUCUAACCUAGACCCGUUAUCCGGGUUGGGGACAGCGUCAGGCGGGUAGUUUAACUGGGGCGGUUGCCUCCUAAAGAGUAACGGAGGCGCCCAAAGGUCCCCUCAGCCUGGUUGGCAAUCAGGCGUUGAGUGCAAUGGCAAAAGGGAGCUUGACUGCGAGACCUACAAGUCGAGCAGGAGCGAAAGCUGGGCAUAGUGAUCCGGCGGUUGCGUGUGGAAGCGCCGUCGCUCAACGGAUAAAAGGUACCCCGGGGAUAACAGGCUAAUCUUGCCCAAGCGUCCAUAGCGACGGCAAGGCUUGGCACCUCGAUGUCGGCUCAUCGCAUCCCGGGGCUGAAGCAGGUCCCAAGGGUUGGGCUGUUCGCCCAUUAAAGCGGUACGCGAGCUGGGUUCAGAACGUCGUGAGACAGUUCGGUCCCUAUCCUCUGCAGCCGGAGGUGAAUUGAGGAAAGCUGUCCCUAGUACGAGAGGACCGGGGCGGACGCAGCUCUCGUGUGCCAGCUGUCCUGCCAAGGGCAUGGCUGGUUAGCGACCUGCGGAAAGGAUAACCGCUGAAAGCAUCUAAGCGGGAAGCCUCUUCCAAGAUGAAUUCACCCACAGGGUUAACCUGGUAAGGCCCGUGGUAGACCACCACGUUGAUAGGCCGGAAGUGUAAGCGUGGCAACACGUUCAGCUGACCGGUACUAAUCGGCCGAGGGCUUGAGUUC